rnacentral:lncRNA from 1 species
GGGGAACUGAGCAGCUUUUUGUAUGAGCAAAUAAAUGAAGUGUUCUGAGAUUCCUGCUUGUGCAGCUGCAAGGAAAUUACUGAACAUCGUUUUUCCAUUCUCUGCAGGUCAGACAAUCUCCAUAUUGGCUGAGUCUCGGGCAUUUCAUAGCAUCAGAGUUCUGGCUCAAGCUAAGAUUUCAUGAGCUUCUUUCCAUGCCAUGCAUUCUGACCUGAGCAACAAAUUCCUGUGACAGGAGUAGGUAGGGAGUAAAUAAAACAACAAGGAAGAACA